AUCGAACGCUGGCGGCAGGCCUAACACAUGCAAGUCGAACGAGUGGCGGACGGGUGAGUAAUGUCUGGGACACUGCCCGAUGGAGGGGGAUAACUACUGGAAACGGUAGCUAAUACCGCAUACCAUCGGAUGUGCCCAGCUGGGAUUAGCUAGUAGGUGGGGUAACGGCUCACCUAGGCGACGAUCCCUAGCUGGUGUGAUAGGAUGACCGGCCAAAAUGGAACUGAGCCACGGGCCAGCCGCCUACGGGAGGCAGCAGUGGGGAAUAUGGCACAAGGGGCGCAAGCCUGAUGCAGCCAUGCCGCGUGUAUGAGGAAGGCCUUCGGGUUGUAAGGUACUUUCAGCGAGGAGGCGUUACUCGCAGAAGAAGCACCGGCUAACUCCGUGCCAGCAGCCGCGGUAAUUC
rnacentral:rRNA from 1 species